ACUCAAAGGAAUUGACGGGGGCCCGCACAAGCGGCGGAGCAUGCGGUUUAAUUCGAUGCAACGCGAAGAACCUUACCAAGGCUUGACAUAUGGCAGAAAACUCAUAGAGAUAUGAGGUCCGCAAGGGUCUGUCUACAGGUGGUGCAUGGCUGUCGUCAGCUCGUGUCGUGAGAUGUUGGGUUAAGUCCCGCAACGAGCGCAACCCUCGUUCUAUGUUGCCAGCGGAUAAUGCCGGGGACUCAUAGGAGACUGCCGGGGUCAACUCGGAGGAAGGUGGGGACGACGUCAAGUCAUCAUGCCCCUUAUGUCUUGGGCUACACGCAUGCUACAAUGGCUGGUACAAAGGGCUGCGAUACCGCAAGGUGGAGCGAAUCCCAUAAAGCCAGUCUCAGUUCGGAUCGGGGUCUGCAACUCGACCCCGUGAAGUUGGAGUCGCUAGUAAUCGCAGAUCAGCAAUGCUGCGGUGAAUACGUUCCCGGGCCUUGUACACACCGCCCGU
rnacentral:rRNA from 1 species